rnacentral:rRNA from 1 species
UACGUAGGUCCCGAGCGUUGUCCGGAUUUAUUGGGUUUAAAGGGUGCGCAGGCGGAUUUUUAAGUCAGCGGUCAAAUCGUGGGGCUCAACCCCAUCCAGCCGUUGAAACUGGGGAUCUAGAGUGUGCGAGAGGUAUGCGGAAUGCGUGGUGUAGCGGUGAAAUGCAUAGAUAUAUGGAGGAACACCGGUGGCGAAAGCGGCUCUCUGGCCUGUAACUGACACUGAGGCUCGAAAGCGUGGGGAGCAAACAGG